rnacentral:rRNA from 1 species
CAGUCGCCGCGGUAACACGAAGGGGGCUAGCGUUGUUCGGAAUUACUGGGCGUAAAGGGCGCGUAGGCGGCGACGAUAGUCAGAAGUGAAAGCCCUGGGCUCAACCCGGGAAUUGCGCUUGAUACUGGUACGCUUGAAUCCAGGAGAGGUUGGUGGAAUUCCCAGUGUAGAGGUGAAAUUCGUAGAGAUUGGGAAGAACACCGGUGGCGAAGGCGGCCAACUGGACUGGUAUUGACGCUGAUGCACGAAAGCUAGGGGAGCAAACAGGAUUAGAUACCCCCGUAGUCCCUGUCUCUUAUAC